rnacentral:rRNA from 1 species
UACGUAGGGCGCAAGCGUUGUUCGGAAUUAUUGGGCGUAAAGAGCUCGUAGGCGGUUUGUUGCGUCGGCUGUGAAAUCCCGAGGCUCAACCUCGGGUCUGCAGUCGAUACGAGCAAACUAGAGUGUUGCAGGGGAGACUGGAAUUCCUGGUGUAGCGGUGAAAUGCGCAGAUAUCAGGAGGAACACCGGUGGCGAAGGCGGGUCUCUGGGCAACAACUGACGCUGAGGAGCGAAAGCGUGGGGAGCGAACAGG